AGUUCUUUUUUUAGAUCUGCGAAGUAGAUCUUCAGGUCGUGCCAGCCAUCGUGAUACAACGCGAUGGUCGAGUUCCGGCACUGAUAGUCGAAGCACAGUGGUACCACCAAGUCCAGUGAACCUUUCAGUUCGACAUCUAGGUAUAGAGACUGACCAACAUGACUGCCGGCGC